UCAUAGAAAAGAAGGUCACAAGAGCUGUUUUUAUUUCUGCUGCAAUACCUCGCAAUUUCUGGGGUUUCGAGCUGUUUUUUUGGCUGGGAAUUGAAGCCGCUCUUUGCUAAGCUUGUUUUGCUGAGACCUUGUUUGGUUUUUGAUUUCCUGUUUACCUGCUGUUAAGGUCUUUGCAACAAAAGAAAGCUAGCUGCAAAUGGAAUUUUGCCCAGACUGUUCAAUGUUACUGCAAUAUGAGUUGCCUCAUAUGGAACGUCCAGCCAGAUUCUUUUGCCCUUCGUGCCCUUUUGUAUGUACAUAGAGAGCCGGCUUAAGCUGAAGAAAAAGCAAGCUUUAGUAAAGAAACAAAUGGAUCCAGUGAUUUCGACAGAUGACAUGGAGAAUGCUUCAACAGCUGAAGGUCUUAGCACUUUCUGUUCCUAUAGCCUCUUGGUAGCAAUCAUGGUUGAACGGCGGGGACAUUGACAAUCAACAAGCCAGUCAAUGGAGGCAGCCACCUAUUGAUGUUUAUGUGAAAAUGCUGUUAUACCACCUAUGUCACGACCCAAAGCUAGAGGAUUAUGAUCAGCAACCAACGCUAUCAUCAUAGCGGAACGAAUCCGGAUCCGAAUCCAAGUCUACAUACCAUAUAAGAGACCAAUAUCUCAAUACGCAUUACAUUUAUAUGAUCAUAAUGCAAGGAGAUCCAAAUUCAAAGAACUUAUGUGAAAUUCUAAUUAUUAAUUAAGUCUUCCAUUAUUAAGACUAAA